UUCCCCACCCUCUACUCUCUCCCACACUCUCUCUAUGUGGCGGUGCGGCGGUGUCAAUGGCCUCAGACGGCAAUGGCAACCGUAUCAGCGGCGGAUCCACAGCCGAAGAGCUUAGGAAGGGCGGAUCCGCCUCCAGUGGCCUUGGGAGCGGUGGAUCCACCCUUGCACGCCAUAGAGAGAGGAGGUGGAAAGGUGGUGCGGCAAUCACGGCAAUGGUGGCGGCUGGCUCAUAGGCUACGGUGGCGGCACCCAACAACUGCGUGCGACCUAGGACAUCUGGCUCUAGACGUGUGCUCCUCCUGCCUGCGGAAACAGGUUGGCCGCAUGCAAAGAUCAUUUUCGUAGUAGUGAUAUUACAUUUCGUUCAAAUAGGACUUCAAAAUCUACUAUGUCUUCCGUUUACCAUUAUUUAUACCCGGUUUCAUUCACCAUUCCGCAACGAGCAACAAUGGAACGUACGCUCUUGCAUAUACCUUCUUGGAAUGGUAGGCAUGUGUGACUUGAGAUGCACUCUGGAGGUCUCUGGUCUCGAGCCAUCACCCAGUGUGGGCAGCUCCUGCAUCUGGAGAUUGAGACGUUGGAACUUCAUGAUCUGUCCAGUAUCAAUCUGUCAUUACCAUAAGAACCUAACCACGGGAUAUUCUAAUACUCUAAUAAGGAUAGCUCGGACUGCUGCUGACCUGGUGCUGUAGACCUGCCUCGAAUUGCAGAAAAACUGGUUUACAUUGAACAUGGGUGCAAGGAUUAAAUUAUAAAGUUUGCAUUAUCUCGGCCAACUCCAAUACGAUGUUAAAAAAAGUUUGUUCAUCAUUAAUGAUUGGACAGUAUAUAUAUUAUCUUUGCAAUGACGAAA